UAGAAUAUGGUGUAAUGGUAGCACGGAGAAUUUUGAAUUCUUAAAUUUAGGUUCAAUUCCUAUUGUUCUAG
rnacentral:tRNA from 1 species